AACGCACCUUGCGCUCCUUGGUAUUCCGAGGAGCAUGCCUGUUUGAGUGUCAUUAAAUUCUCAACCUUACCCACUUUGUUGGGCUAGGCUUGGAUGUGGGGGCUUGCAGGUCCGCCUUUGCGGGUGGUCUGCUCCUCUGAAAUGCAUUAGUGGGUUUGUGCCCCUCAUCUCUUGGUGUGAUAAUUAUCUACGCCGCUGGGUGAUGCAUCAAUGAAACCUGCUCAUAACCGUCCGUCUCGGACAACUUUGAUCAUUUUGACCUCAAAUCAGGUAAGACUACCCGCUGAACUUAA
rnacentral:misc_RNA from 1 species